AUUGAACGCUGGCGGCAUGCUUUACACAUGCAAGUCGAACGGCAGCGCGGGCUUCGGCCUGGCGGCGAGUGGCGAACGGGUGAGUAAUGCAUCGGAACGUGCCCAGUAGUGGGGGAUAGCCCGGCGAAAGGCGGAUUAAUACCGCAUACGACCUGAGGGUGAAAGCGGGGGACCGAAAGGCCUCGCGCUCUUGGGGCGGCCGAUGUCGGAUUAGCUAGUUGGUGGGGUAAAGGCUUACCAAGGCGACGAUCCGUAGCUGGUCUGAGAGGACGACCAGCCACACUGGGACUGAGACACGGCCCAGACUCCUACGGGAGGCAGCAGUGGGGUAUUGUGGACAAUGGGGGCAACCCUGAUCCAGCCAUGCCGCGUGCGGGAAGAAGGCCUUCGGGUUGUAGACCGCUUUUGUUCGGGAAGAAGUCCUAUGGGCUAAUACCCCGGGGGGAUGACGGUACCGGAAGAAUAAGCACCGGCUAACUACGUG
rnacentral:rRNA from 1 species